GCAAGAGCCCGGCGAGCGAAAAUAAAAGACAUGGGCGCUCACAUAUACUGCGGCUGCGAGCACCGCUGCAAGUCAAUCGCAGCGCCAUCUGCUGCGUGGGGAGACUUUUUUGAUCGUAGAUACAGUUUGGUUAGUGAACUGUACUCUUAAUUAAAUAGGAGCUUUUAAACCUGCAGUUACACAGCUAAAGAUCACAGCAAAAAGUAAUGGAUCUAAAUCAGCUGACCUGAUCCUGAGAGUAGUGGGAUAGAUAUCAGAUGUCAUGACAAUGGAAGUGGACACUCAAAGAUUGGAGUGGUCCAUGUAAGAAGGCAGCCUUACUUGCAGAAUUGGAGAAGAAUUUGCUUUUUCUUUUAUGGUGGACUCCACAUUAAUGUUUCAGGUUCUACCAUUCACCAGGGGCAAUUUACAGUGGCCAAUUAACCUAUGAAUCCAAUGUGAGAGGAAAC